rnacentral:tRNA from 1 species
GACUCCAUGGCGCAAUGGUAGCGCGUCCGACUCCAGAUCGGAAGGCUGCGUGUUCAAAUCACGUUGGGGUCA